AUUGAACGCUGGCGGCAUGCCUUACACAUGCAAGUCGAACGGCAGCACGGGAGCAAUCCUGGUGGCGAGUGGCGAACGGGUGAGUAAAGUAUCGGAACGUGCCUAGUCGUGGGGCAUGACGUAGCGAAAGUUACGCUAAUACCGCUUACGAUCUAGUGAUGAAAGCGGGGGCACGCAAGACCACGCGCGACUGGAUCGGCCGAUAUCGGAUCAGGUAGUUGGUGGGGUAAAGGCUCACCAAGACGACGAUCUGUACCUGGUCUGAGAGGACGACCAGCCACACUGGGACUGAGACACGGCCCAGACUCCUACGGGAGGCAGCAGUGGGGAAUUUUGGACAAUAGGCGAAAGCCUGAUCCAGCCAUGCCGCGUGCAGGAUGAAGGCCUUCGGGUUGUAAACUGCUUUUGUACGGAACGAAAAGGUUUGGCCUAAUAAGCUGAGCUCAUGACGGUACCGUAAGAAUAAGCACCGGCUAACUACGUGCCAGCCGCCGCGGUAA
rnacentral:rRNA from 1 species